CCGCCUGGAUGACGGAGCCGGCGGCGGGCGGCGGCGCGGGCCCGUUGUUGACCGGGCUGACAGCAGGGAUCGCCCGGUCGCAAAAGCAGUGUGUGCCUGGCCCCGCGUGGGUGAUUCCCCAGCCCUCGAACUGACUUACUGGUAACUGAAGGACAUCCCCCUCAUGAGCAGCACAGUUGGAGCCUGAGAAAGGUGCUUAUCUUAAGGGAGAAAUGUUUGGAGGCAACUCUGUACCAGAGGACAGGAAAUUUGUUCGCACUUGAGCUUUAGCUCCACCCUUGCCCUGCAGGGCAGGACAGUAAAUGAAUUGAACCUUGCCAGGAGGGGACGACGGCUGAUUCCCGGGGGUCACCUUAUACUCGGUGUGGGCGCAGCUCGAGUUGCGGCUCCAACAAGAGCAGAAAUGUAGAGCUAGAGGUAUUUUGGUUCAUUUCUGGGGAUUGGACCCAGGGCCUGACGAACAUUAGGCAAGCACUUUGUUGCUGAGCUGUACUUCCAGUCCCAAGUUUCAGAAUGUUUACAUGUUGACAGCUACUUAAUUAGAAAAGUUUUCAUAGGUGGGUCCAUCAGCAGGCCACCAUCAGUCCCCUGUGCAACAUGUGCAGUGAGAAACAACUGGUGUAUAGCACAGUGUGUACCUCAGAACCUCAGGUGGGAAGCGGGACAGAAAGCUGGAGGCCGAGUGAGGAGACCCAGAUCCCGGGCCUCCACCCCAAAGGCCCAUGCAAUUUGGCUCACACCCCACCCUGCACACCCACUGCUACCACACUGCUGAGGCACAGUGAGGCUUCCACACCAGUGUGGUGCCAGGCCUCUGAAGGGUGGGCUGUGCCUCCUGCACCCACGAGUCUGCUGACAUCACCCCAGCAACCUGUGGCGCUCCCCACAUCCCAGCCAUCGAAGGACGGAGCAGGGUUAAGGAUCAGCACCAAUGCAUCCCAACGUCCCUUAAGGGCAGUUUUCUGCAGCAAAGGACAUGGGAAAUGUGAGAGCCACAGUAGAGGCAGCUCAGUUACAACUGGUUUUUGCAAGAGGAUGCAGAGGGUUAGUGAGUGUGUUCUUCCCCUCGUCUUGCAUGUGCUAGAGGGAGUGGGAACAUUCACCUUGUUGUCCAGUGACUCAGGGCCAGUUUUCCUUAGAUAGCUCUAUGGGCUGGGGAGCACUGUAUAGCUCAGAUUUAGCACUUCAAAGCAAUAAAGUAAAAUAAAAUAAUAAAUAGCUCAUGGUUUUACAUGUUGCCCCAAGCAGUUAUGACUUGUGGUUUGAAAUAAAAAAUUAUAUCUAGCAUAAAAAGAGAAAGAGGGGUCAGGAUGUAGCCCAGCAGCACAGACACCUGCCUGGCAAGCUUGAGGUCCUGAGUUCGACCUCAAGGUCCUUUAGGUCUCCGGUACCAAAUAAAUAAAGAGAGAAAAAGGGAAUUAAAUUAAUUUAUAUGCACCAUGUUUGAACAUUAAAAGAGUUUGUGAUUAGCAACAGCAAACACAAAACAGUACAUCCUUGCCAACCACGCUGCAGAUGAGCUGGGCAGUGGGCAGAAAAGUGUUUCUAUGAAGCCAGCCGUUUUGUGGGCCUUUUAAAUGUAUUGAGCAGUAUAUUAUUUUUUUCCAGUACAAGUAGAGCAUGAGACACACUCGCUUAAAUAUAAGAUAAAGUGAGCCAGGCAUGGUGGCACACACCUGUAAUCCCAAUACUCGAGAGGCUGAGGCAGGAAGAUCGCUGUGAUUUCAAGGCCAGCCUGUGCUAUACAGUGGGUUCAAGGCAGUCUGAACUACGUAGCAAGACCUUGUCUCAAAACGCACAAAAAAAUAAAAAUUUAAAAAGAAC
rnacentral:lncRNA from 1 species